GGUGUUAUCGUAUAGUGGUUAGUACAAGACGUUGUGGAAACACAAUUCCGUCUAGACCCCGGUUCGAUUCCGGGUAACGCCA